UACAGAGGUCUCAAGCGUUGUUCGGAUUCAUUGGGCGUAAAGGGUGCGUAGGCGGCGCGGUAAGUCGGGUGUGAAAUCUCGGAGCUUAACUCCGAAACUGCAUUCGAUACUGCCGUGCUUGAGGACUUGGAGAGGAGACUGGAAUUUACGGUGUAGCGGUGAAAUGCGUAGAUAUCGUAAGGAAGACCAGUGGCGAAGGCGGGUCUCUGGACAGUUCCUGACGCUGAGG
rnacentral:rRNA from 1 species